rnacentral:rRNA from 1 species
UACGUAGGGUGCAAGCGUUGUCCGGAAUUAUUGGGCGUAAAGAGCUCGUAGGCGGUUUGUUGCGUCGGCUGUGAAAUCCCGAGGCUCAACCUCGGGUCUGCAGUCGAUACGAGCAAACUAGAGUGUUGCAGGGGAGACUGGAAUUCCUGGUGUAGCGGUGAAAUGCGCAGAUAUCAGGAGGAACACCGGUGGCGAAGGCGGGGCGCUGGGCAACAACUGACGCUGAGGAGCGAAAGCGUGGGGAGCGAACAGG